rnacentral:rRNA from 1 species
AACGUAGGAGACAAACGUUAUCCGGAGUUACUGGGCGUAAAGGGCGUGUAGGUGGUUACGUAAGUCUGGCGUGAAAUUUCUCGGCUUAACCCGAGGCAGGUCGUCGGAUACUGCGAGACUAGAGGACGGUAGAGGCGUGUGGAAUUCCGGGUGAGUGGUGAAAUGCGUAGAGAUCCGGAGGAACACCAGUGGCGAAGGCGACACGCUGGGCCGUACCUGACGCUGAGACGCGAAGGCG